rnacentral:rRNA from 1 species
UACGAAGGGGGCUAGCGUUGCUCGGAAUUACUGGGCGUAAAGCGCACGUAGGCGGUCUUUUAAGUCGGGGGUGAAAUCCUGGAGCUCAACUCCAGAACUGCCUUCGAUACUGGAAGACUUGAGUCCGGGAGAGGUGAGUGGAACUGCGAGUGUAGAGGUGAAAUUCGUAGAUAUUCGUCAAGAACACCAGUGGCGAAGGCGGCUCACUGGCCCGGUACUGACGCUGAGGUGCGAAAGCGUGGGAGCAACAGG